rnacentral:ncRNA from 1 species
UUCUGUCAAAGGCAAACCCAUCGAAAGGUGGAGACGCAAAGUUACCGGUCUACAGGGAACGUUUCCCAUGACAGCGGGACUGCCAGA